rnacentral:lncRNA from 1 species
UUUUUUUUUUUUUUUUUUUUUUUACACUCAAACUUAUUCUUACAUUUUCUAAUUACUUAUGUCCGUUUUUUUUUUUUUUUUUUUUUUUUCUCUUUAUUUAAAGGAUAAAAAUAUUUUAUUAACUGACUUUAAUUUAUCAAGACGAGUAGACGAAAAUUUUGAAUUUCUUAUGAGUCAAUGUUGUGGAACUAAGGGACAUUUGGCACCUGAACAGAAGAGUGUAGGUUAUGACCGUAUGGUAGAUAUAUGGGCUUUUGCAAUUAUUAUAUCAAAAUUUCUGAAACAUAAAAAUUUUCAUUAUUUUUCUCAUGCCGAUUAUAAUAUAAAUUUAAAACAUUUUGAAAUCCAGGAUAAUUUUUUAUUAAAUUUGUUGUUAGCUUGUAUUGAUGAAAAUCCUUUCAUGAGACCCUCAUUUGAAGACAUUACUAGGUCACUAAUAAGAGAAGUAGUCAAAAACGAAUUGGAAAUGUGUUGUAGAAAAAAAAUGAUUUUGACUAAUUAAAUAUAAGGACUCACUUUUUCUUUUUCUCUCUUUUCUCUUUUUUUUUGCUCCUAUUUUUUCUCUUUUUUUUUCUCCUUUUUUUUCUCUUUUUUUUUCUCCUAUUUUUUCUCCUAUUUUUUCUCUUUUUUUUUCUCCUAUUUUUUCUCUUNNNNNNNNNNUUUUUUCUCUUUUUUUUUCUCCUAUUUUUUCUCUUUUUUUUUCUCCUUUUUUACAUUUUUUUAAUUUAAAUGUCAUUUUUUAAGUUUCGUUUGACAUUUUUGAAUAUAGCUAAAUGUGUUUAUACAUUGUAUGUAAAAAAAAAAAAAAUAAUAAUAAUAAUA